UGGAAUGAUUGACAGGUCCUAUGGAGGAGGCAGCAGAGACUCUGCUCUCCUCGUUUGGAUUAAUUCUGAUAUAAUAACUGUUGGUUUAUUUAUCGGUGGAGCAGCAGAACAUUUUCCACAGACAGUUUUCCUGCCCGUUGGCUUGUUUUACCCAGUUUUCUAUCAGCAGACACUGAAAGGACUCUAAUAGUUCGAGUGAAAGUAGCAGUUCCUCCUUAAGGUCAGAGAUUGCAGCAUCUGAGGGCCUCUUCAAAAGAAGAUGUAGUUGAUGAAGGCGUUCUGGAGCAGGACCAGAAAGACCACGACCAAGCAGCCUUGAGAUCUUAGGCAGCGUCUCCCUCAGGUCCCUCUCUAUCUCCCUAUACAUCCACCAACCACUGGAACACAUGUCCAAAGUUCUGCCGGUCCAGCUCAGCUUCCCCUCAGAAGAAGUGCAACCACCUGCCAGAUGAAGGAGCCUUUUGAGAGGCAGCUGGCAUCGUGAUUGGACUGUACUUUGGCCUGUUCCAAUCCAGCUUCAGCUCCAGAGACGGCAGGCGGGACGAGUCAACGGAGGCCGGGUGGACGAAGUGGCUGUAAAAAGUCAGUCCAUCCUGGCCGACAUCAACACCUCUUCAUGACAUCUUGUUCUGCCUCGGACCUGGUGGAAACUCCAGAAACUGG
ensembl:lncRNA